AAGGAAAAAUAGAGGAGGAAGGAAAGAAAACUAGCUAUUUUUCAUGAUCUGUCCUGAGAAAAUAUUUCUAAACUCACCCUACAAACUGCUGUCUAUAACACCAUUGGAGUCAAAUGGGCCCCUUUCAGACAGGGAAAUUCACAGCUGCUGGCUGUGGCAUGCAGGGCACGCAGCCAGGGACACCUAAGAGCAAGUGCUUGCCUCUCUCUCUCACCCAGAAUGAUGAUGCAGGAAUGACAAAGGGAGAUACUGGGGAAUGUCAAGUCAAACAAAUCAUAGCUCUUCUCCGGUGGCUCCUGUGACCUUGUUCUGAGGUAAGGCACACAGGCGGGAGGGACAUUCAGGAUAAGCAAUGUUUGUCAUCUGAGGCUUCUAUCUGCUCCAAACGGAACUUUAAAUCUCCCUUAUGGAGGCAUUGACAUUUAGUUUGGCACAUUUUCAGAUACUAGGGGAAAAAAAAAACAUGACUUGACAAGAAAAAAAGUCAAGUUAAUACACAGGAAAAGGAGGCCAUUAUUUCCAUAGUUCAGCAUCUAAUUUACAUAGAAGCAUGCAAACACGCGUUUUUGGACACUAGAAUUUCUAUUGUUUUAAAUUACUGUUUUUUUCUGUCACUGAGUCAAGGAAGAUAACUGUGGCUUUUACAAAUCCCAAAUCAAGUAAAAUUAGGUUCCCCAUUGCUACAUCCAGAAUCAAUCAAUCUUUCUUUCUUUCUUUCUUUCUUUCUUUCUUUCUUUCUUUCUUUCUUUCUAUCUUCCUUCCUUCCUCCCUUCCUCCAUCCCUCCCUCCCUUCCUUCUUUCCUUCCCGUGCUUAUUUUCAAUCAUAUGAGGUUUUUAUCUAAAAGUCGCUGAGUUGACCUGUCUCAUAUUAAGCUUUAUCGCCUGCAAAGAUGAAGGAGGCGGUCGUCCAGGGAAGUAUUAGCAUUCUUCUUAGGGUGGUUAUAAAUAUUAAAUUGGGCACAUGCUUAUCUGAUAAACUUUACUAUACAUAGACCAAGUUUCGAUUAGGGCAGGGGCAGGGGUAUUAUUUUAUAUGACAAACUGAUCCAGCUCUUUCCCCAAAUUAAAACAUGAGGACUCCUGAGGGACUGUGUGCACACACAUGCCUUUAAGGAGAGAGACUUUAUAAUCGAUAGGCUCGCUGAAAGUUUAUUUUUGUCCCCGUUAGAAAGAGCGUCUAAUUCUGCCCCCCCCCAACCAAUGCGCACACUUCGCUCCAGCCUGAACAUCCUGUGACUUCAGUAGUCCUGACAUUUUAAGGUGGUAUUUGAUCCUUCCAAAUCUUUGAAGAUCAUUUUUCUGCAGACUCUUCACCAUCCCACCUUUAAAGAUAAAAGGCCAGUCUGUGAAGGAGAUCAGGUCGAAGAAAGUUCAGUUUUGUAAUUCCAGCAACAGGACACUUCCCUCACUGACUGUCUCCCACAUAUCAGUUAUUUGAGACAGACUUUUUUAUUUGUUUGUUUGUUUUUCUUUUUUAGAAGAAAGAGAGGUCUGGUGUCAAAAGUGCUGCCAAACAUCCCCAAAUCACAGAGUCUCUUAACUCCGACAGGUUAAGAAAAGACAGUUUGCCUUCAUACCUUCAGCUUUCCUUAUUAACUUUGACCUCGGCCUUUUCUCAGUCAGCUGCUUACACAGGCAUUUCACACAGGAGAAGUGAAGGAAAUUCCAGAAGAAAAGCAAGCAGCAUAAAAACGACUUUUUACGGAAAGUUCAACAACCUCCAGAGAGAUCGAGUAUGGCAUGCUGAAGGAGCUGACUUCAUUUAUUAAAUGCACUUCCCGAUGUGUUAAGUAACUCGUUCUUCUAAGUGCACAGGGUUUGUAUUACUCUUCUCUCUGCUGCCUCCUUCCCCUCUGUAGGAUUUAUGAUGUUUUCCUGACAGGCUCCAUGUGCCUGAGGCCCAUUAGGUAGGACUGAGGUCUCACCUUUUCUAAGUCCAGAAGUCAUCCUGAGGAAGUGCUAUUACUUCAUGUGUAAAACUGCAAAACACACACAGAAUCACUUGGAACAGAAACUCUUUCUGUCAAGGGUUGCUCUUCCUCCAAAGUUUCUUCUCUGAAAACUUAUUACUAUUAUUAUUAAUUACUAUUAUUAGUUUUGCUGAUUUGAUUAUGCUCUACUGAAGGUAGUUAGAAAAUGAUAUAAAAUAGGAAAUAUUGUUGCUUGCAAAACAGUGUCAAAGGCCAACAGAUAAACCUUCAAAUUCAUCUGCAGCACAUGUCAAUUAGAUGCUGUCCAGAAAAUAGGGCAAGCAACAGGACUUCUUCCUCUGUUCAAAGUGUCAGUCCAAUUCAGUUUCAACCCAGAAUGUGUUUUAGGUCUGAGGUAAUAGGCCUACCUCAUUUCUUCCAUAGAUUUUGUCUGGAGGAGCGACCAACUGGAUCCACUUCAACUCUGGAGAUCACUACAUGCCACCACAUACUAUAUUGUUGGCCACGAGCAGCACUGAAUCUUCACGUGUAGCUUCUUACACUGUCAUGCCCCAUAGUACCCACAGCUAAAUCUAUACUUUCCAGCAAAGAACACAAGCCUGCAAUUGCCCUUACAGUUUCAAAGCUUAGCUUUGCAGAGAAUUGACACAGCAACAUUAACUUGAUUUAAUUAGCUCAUAAAAUCUGGACUUGCCAAGCUGGUCAACUGAGGCCACUUUUGGGAACCCAGAGGAAGAAGGUAUCUUCUAUAUCUAUUAUAUAGUCUAUCUAUUUAUGGGGAUAAAUAGAUGUUGGUAGAAGUGGAGGUUUCUGGAAUUGUCUGAAAAUAGUUCCUAUUGCCAAACUUUUGUACAUCAAGUGUGUGUACAAGAAAGACCUCAGAAAGUCAGCACUGCUAUAGGACUGUGCACAAGCCAAGUAUCUGAAUAAUUUCUGGUGACUGGGCUUUUUCCCUGUUGAGUUCGAUGACUGUACUCCACUAGGAGAAAGGUCAUGAAGCAUGGUUCCUGCUAGGGCUGACAUUUAACAAGGAGUGAUUGAUUUGAAAGCAGGAUUGAUACUCAGAUUUAGUCUACCGGUGUUUUGCUAAAAUCCCUUUAAAAUGGGACUGUAAGUUCAUCCUCUCUUUUUCUUUCCUCUGAAUAGAUUUUUUUUUAACUAGGCCAAAAACUACCAAUAGCCAGCUCAAGUAAAACACAAGCCAAUUCAUGUCUUCAGUGUCCACCAUCUGAGUAUCUCCUAGUUAGAGGAAUGAUCACAGUUCUUAAAGUAUGAAAACACUAGUUACUGAUCGCUACCUAUCCUGAGCCCUCACUGCUAACACAGGAGCUCCAGAUGAAAUCUAAAUUUGCUAUUUCAAGCCCAUUGCUGUGUUGAUCAUUUGAGAUAAAAAUGACAUAGUUUUGAGUCUUCGGAAACUGCUCCACUUAACUCCCAAACCGUUGCUUUUGAAAAAGGCUAAUUUGGGGUUGGGUACAUUGGUGUUGCUGCCUUGUAAAACGGCAAGCUUUUUUUUAAAAAAGAAAAAGAAAGAAAAGAAAAAAAUGAAAAAAAUGGCAGCAGAGACAUUUUUUCUAGCCCAUGUCAGCACAAAAGGGUGACUCAGUUGUUUCAUCUCCCAACAGCUGCAUGCUUUCAUUGACAUUUGGUGACCUUUCUUUGUGCACCCAGCCUAACCUCUUAGGUUAUUUCCUGGCCUCCCUUCUGUGACCUAUGACCGAAGCUGACCUUUAGCUGGAGAAUGUGACAUUUUGUUCUCCUCUAGCUGACAUGUGAUGCUCUCAUUAUUCAAAGAGCCAUCUUGGGAACAGUUCCAAACUGUGGAGAACAGAAGUUUCGACUGCUUGACUGAAGUGUUAACGUCAUCCAGUCUGAGAUUUCAUAACUUUACAAACAAGAGGCCGAGGCCUCAGUGGAGUCACCAGUGGCCGUCUUAAUUACAGCAUCAACAAAUGAGCAUUUCAGCAAAAACACGCAACCUUCUUGGUGCAGGUUCAGCUAAAGUUUCUCAUUCUGAAGCUGUCGUUUCCUCUCUACUUUCACCUCCUCAUUCUUGGGAAAAAAAGUAGUUUCCCCAUUACAGUCUUUUUUUUAAAAGUAUAGUUAAAAAAUAAAAUAAUAUCUUGGGUCCUGUGGAUCUUUUCUCAUGAAUGACUUAGUUAGCUGUUUAAGCUUGUGUCAAGAUAAUAUCCUCGAAAUUUGCUGAAAUAACCAUUCUCUUUCAGGUCAUGAUGUCUGUGAUUAGUUUCAAAGAGGCUAGGGCAUAUGUCAAUGCUGUAGGAAAUGUGUUGUUUAUGCCCCAAGAAGCUGUAUCUUCUCCUGAGUGCUACCUUCCCCGUGAAGAGAUGAGUUGAUUUCUGAAUUGUAAAACAAUGCCAUAUGGGAUAUAGGUUCAACAAAUAUUUGAAUGGAAGCUUUAUACAGAGAACUCCAGUGGUGAUAAAAUAGUGAGUCCUGCACCUGGCCUUCAACAAAGAUGUGUCCUUACCAAGAGCACACUGAAAUGUCUAACUCCUGAAAGAAUGUUUUGCAAGUUUUAGAGUUUGACAAGAUAUGGUGACUCGAGCCUGCAACACCAGGUCUUGGGUGGCCAAGGUGAAAGGAUAGCUUUAAUUUCAGGGCUGACCUGAGCUAGAUAGCAGGGUUCUGUUUCAAAACAAAAGCCGUGUGGAUCCCCCACCAAAGAAAAGCCUCAAUGUAAAUCUGCUUUCAUAAUUUUAAUAACUCUAUCCAAUCAAUUCUGAUGUUCUGUUCAUAGAUGAGUUCUUAGCUUACAUAUAAAAUAUCUUUCCUGUGUCAUUUUUAUGCCUAAUUGGUGUAUAACAUCCACUGAACAUCAAAAUAAAUGUUAUAAGUCAUUG
rnacentral:sRNA from 1 species